UACAGAGUUUUCUACUCUCCAAAACCGUCGCGAACGAACCCUGUUGCCUCGGCGGCGCGCCCCCCGGGGUGCCCGCCGGCGGCCCUGAAACUAUUGUCUUUACAGUGGCACAUCUGAGCGUUUAGCAAACGUUAAAACUUUCAACAACGGAUCUCUUGGUUCUGGCAUCGAUGAAGAACGCAGCGAAAUGCGAUAAGUAAUGUGAAUUGCAGAAUUCAGUGAAUCAUCGAAUCUUUGAACGCACAUUGCGCCCGCCGGCACUCCGGCGGGCAUGCCUGUCUGAGCGUCAUUUCGACCCCCAAGCACCGCUUGGUGUUGGAGCACCACGGCCACCGUGGGCCCCGAAAAGCAGUGGCGGACCCGCCGUCGUACCGGGCGCAGUAACAUACCUCGCCCUGGCACGCACGGCGGUUGCCGGCCGUUAAACCCCCAUCAACUCCUAAGGUUGACCUCAGAUCAGGUAGGGAUACCCGCUGAACUUAAGCAUAUCAAUAAGCGGAGGAAAAGAAACCAACAGGGAUUGCCCCAGUAACGGCGAGUGAAGCGGCAACAGCUCAAAUUUGAAAUCUGGCCCUCGGGUCCGA
rnacentral:rRNA from 1 species